rnacentral:misc_RNA from 1 species
AAGUCGUAACAAGGUUUCCGUAGGUGAACCUGCGGAAGGAUCAUUAUUGAAUAAACCUGGCGUGGUUGUAGCUGGUCCUCUCGGGGACAUGUGCUCGCCCGUCAUCUUUAUAUCUCCACCUGUGCACCCUUUGUAGACCUGGACGAUAACUUUCCGAGGCAACUCGGUCGGGAGGACUGCUGGCUUCCACGAGUCGGCUUUCCUUGUAUUAUCCAGGCCUAUGUCUUACACAUACCCCAAAGAAUGUAACAGAAUGUAUUGUAUAUGGCCUAGUGCCUAUAAACUAUAUACAACUUUCAGCAACGGAUCUCUUGGCUCUC